UGGGGAAUAUUGGGCAAUGGGGGAAACCCUGACCCAGCAACGCCGCGUGAAGGAAGAAGGCUUUCGGGUUGUAAACUUCUUUUACCAGGGACGAAUAGAUGACGGUACCUGGAGAAAAAGCUCCGGCUAACUACGUGCCAGCAGCCGCGGUAAUACGUAGGGAGCAAGCGUUGUCCGGAUUUACUGGGUGUAAAGGGCGUGUAGGCGGGAAUGCAAGUCAGAAGUGAAAUCCCCGGGCUCAACCCGGGAACUGCUUUUGAAACUGUAUUUCUUGAGUAUCGGAGAGGCAGGCGGAAUUCCUAGUGUAGCGGUGAAAUGCGUAGAUAUUAGGAGGAACACCAGUGGCGAAGGCGGCCUGCUGGACGACAACUGACGCUGAGGCGCGAAAGCGUGGGGAGCAAACAGG
rnacentral:rRNA from 1 species